GCGGCACCGAGCACGCUCCCGGACGACGUCGUCCUCGAGGUCCUCGUGCGCGUCCCGGACGCCGGCACGUUGUUCCGGUGCGCCGCGGCGUGCAAGCGGUGGCGAGGGCUCAUCGUUCACCGGUCCUUCCUCCGCCGUCGCUGGGCGGCGAGCGCGUCCUACUUCGGCGGAUUCUUUGCUCGAGAGCGGCGGUGCCAAGGGGAACAGGACGAUGACGUUACGGACGCCAGCUCCCCGCCGAUCUUCAUCCCGGUGCAGCGGUCCGCAGCCGGUCCUGCUCCUGCCCGCCAUCCCCUCACCUCGUUUCUAGUCCCCGACAUGGCCGGCCUCUUGGCCGGAUCGGAGCCGCUAACUGCCCGCAACGGUCUCCUCCUGGUACGCCUCAGGCCGUGCGCCGCCGGAGGUGGUGGCCCUAUCCGUCUGGCUGCGUGCAACCUGAUCGCCGGCACUUGCGACGUGCUUCCUCCACUGGACAGCGGGUUCUCCUCGCCCAUAGGCUACACUGUCCUAACCGGCGAAGACUGCUUCUCCUCGCCUCCGCCAUCGCCUGCGCCCAACUACUCCACCUUCUUCAAGGUCCUAAUCUUCGGCCUCAGACACAUCCGAACUGGGAGGCUUGGGCAUGGCCACUACAAUCUCCACAUGUUCUCAUCAUCAUCGUCGAGCUGGAGCUCGCGUAUAGAGUUCGACGAUUUUUACAUCACGCGGGGCGAUAACGGCGAGCAGUGGCCGUACAUGGAGCAUAGCAUCGUCGUGGACCGCGGCGUGGCACACUACCUCCUCACAAAGUGGCCAGACCAACAUCGCCUGCCAUCUUACACUGUUGACAUGAAGGGCCACGUCUGCGUAAGGGAGCUAUGUCUCUCGUCUAACGAACCCACCGCCGACACUCAUCUUCUGGCCCUCGUCGGCGGCGAACGCUCGCUCUUUUUAAUGUUCACAGAGGAAAGCCUCCGGAUGGAGAUCUGGACAUUUAGAGGUGACGAUGGACAUGACAACUUAGACUGGAUUUACAAGGGGGUGAUGGAGCUGAAACCACCCAAGAACAGACGGAUUGAUGACGUGCUAUGGGUUUGGUCGGGAGAAAAGAGCAACACCUUGCUUAUCAUGGACUGGGACCUCCGCGCAUACCUUGCUAAUCUCGAAACUGGGGCGAUGGAGGAGAUGACGGAGCUGUUUUACAACACGGUUCCAAAUGCCGUGCCUGUAGAGAUAGAUUGGCCGGCUUUAUUCAGGACUCGGCUCGGUAGA
rnacentral:rRNA from 1 species